rnacentral:tRNA from 1 species
UCCCUGGAGGACUAGUGGUUAGGCCGCGGUGCUCUCACCGCCGCAGCCCGGGUUCGAUUCCUGGCCAGGGAA